CGGUAUAACGAACGAGACUUAACCUGCUAAUAAGCCGUUCCUGCCUUGGCAGUCCGGCUGGCUUCUUAGAGGGACUAUCGGCUCAAGCCGAUGGAAGUUUGAGGCAAUAACAGGUCUGUGAUGCCCUUAGAUGUUCUGGGCCGCACGCGCGCUACACUGACAGAGCCAGCGAGUAAUUCCUUGGCCGGAAGGCACGGGUAAUCUUGUGAAACUCUGUCGUGCUGGGGAUAGAGCAUUGCAAUC
rnacentral:rRNA from 1 species